rnacentral:rRNA from 1 species
GACGAACGCUGGCGGCGUGCUUAACACAUGCAAGUCGAACGGUAAGGCCCUUCGGGGUACACGAGUGGCGAACGGGUGAGUAACACGUGGGUGAUCUGCCCUGCACUUCGGGAUAAGCCCGGGAAACUGGGUCUAAUACCGGAUAGGACUCCUGGCUUCAUGGUUGGGGGUGGAAAGCUUUUGCGGUGUGGGAUGGGCCCGCGGCCUAUCAGCUUGUUGGUGGGGUAAUGGCCUACCAAGGCGACGACGGGUAGCCGGCCUGAGAGGGUGACCGGUCGCACUGGGACUGAGAUACGGCCCAGACUCCUACGGGAGGCAGCAGUGGGGAAUAGUGCACAAUGGGCGCAAGCCUGAUGCAGCGACGCCGCGUGAGGGAUGACGGCCUUCGGGUUGUAAACCUCUUUCAGCUAUGACGAAGCGCAAGUGACGGUAGUAGCAGAAGAAGGACCGGCCAACUACGUGCCAGCCGCCGCGGUAA